rnacentral:rRNA from 1 species
CCCCGGUAAACGGCGGCCGUAACUAUAACGGUCCUAAGGUAGCGAAAUUCCUUGUCGGGUAAGUUCCGACCUGCACGAAUGGCGUAAUGAUGGCCAGGCUGUCUCCACCCGAGACUCAGUGAAAUUGAACUCGCUGUGAAGAUGCAGUGUACCCGCGGCAAGACGGAAAGACCCCGUGAACCUUUACUAUAGCUUGACACUGAACAUUGAGCCUUGAUGUGUAGGAUAGGUGGGAGGCUUUGAAGUGUGGACGCCAGUCUGCAUGGAGCCGACCUUGAAAUACCACCCUUUAAUGUUUGAUGUUCUAACGUGGACCCGUAAUCCGGGUUGCGGACAGUGUCUGGUGGGUAGUUUGACUGGGGCGGUCUCCUCCUAAAGAGUAACGGAGGAGCACGAAGGUUGGCUAAUCCUGGUCGGACAUCAGGAGGUUAGUGCAAUGGCAUAAGCCAGCUUGACUGCGAGCGUGACGGCGCGAGCAGGUGCGAAAGCAGGUCAUAGUGAUCCGGUGGUUCUGAAUGGAAGG